rnacentral:rRNA from 1 species
AGCGAACGCUGGCGGCAGGCUUAACACAUGCAAGUCGAACGCCCGGGCAACCGGGAGUGGCAGACGGGUGAGUAACACGUGGGAACGUACCCUUUGGUUCGGAAUAACUCAGGGAAACUUGAGCUAAUACCGGAUAAGCCCUUUUGGGGAAAGAUUUAUCGCCGAAGGAUCGGCCCGCGUCCGAUUAGCUAGUUGGUGAGGUAAUGGCUCACCAAGGCGACGAUCGGUAGCUGGUCUGAGAGGAUGAUCAGCCACACUGGGACUGAGACACGGCCCAGACUCCUACGGGAGGCAGCAGUGGGGAAUAUUGGACAAUGGGGGCAACCCUGAUCCAGCCAUGCCGCGUGAGUGAUGAAGGCCUUAGGGUUGUAAAGCUCUUUCGGCGGGGACGAUAAUGACGGUACCCGCAGAAGAAGCCCCGGCUAACUUCGUGCCAGCAGCCGCGGUAA